ensembl:lncRNA
GUGCUCUGGGCGCUGGAGGCCCUGGCCAAUCACAGCACCAGAGCUCUCCUGGCUGGCCCCGCCCCCUCGGCUGAAGCCCCCCCACCCUUAGGAGCCUCCUGCAGGAGCGCUGGGGCGCCGUUGGGGGGGUGUGGGCGGCGCUGCCCCCCCUCCUGGCCCACCUGGCCCGGCUGAGGCGGCGCCUGAGCACGCACCUGCAGCGGGGGAGGGGCCAGGGAACCGCCAGGCUGUUCCUGCUCCGGGCCGGGCUCUCGGCCUUCCGGGGCUCCCUGGGCCGGGCGCUGACCCAGCUCCAAAAACCCCAAAAUUCACCCCAAAAACCCCAAAAUUCACCCCAAAAACCGCCCUGGGAACCCCAAAAACACCAAAAACCCCAAAAUUCCUCCCCCAAAAACUCCAAAUCCCCAAAAUUCAGCCCCAAAAUCCCCAAAAUUGGCCCCAAAAUCGGCCCCAAAAUCUCAAAAUUUGGACCCAAAAUCCCCAAAUUUGGCCUCAAAAUUGGAUCCAAAUUGACCCCAAAAUCUCAACAGUUGGCCUCAAAAUCGGCUCUAAAAUCCCCAAAUUUGGCCCCAAAAUCCCCAAAUUUGGACCCAAAAUCUCAAAAUUUGGACCCAAAAUCCCCGAGUUUGGCCCCAAAAUCCCCAAAUUUGUCUCCAAAUUCAGCCCCAAAAUCCCCGAAUUUGGCCCCAAAAUUUCAAAAUUUGGCCCCAAAAUCCCCAAAUUUGGCCCCAAAAUCCCCGAGUUUGGCCCCAAAAUCGCCGAGUUUGGCCCCAGACCCGGCCCUGGAGCGGCUCCGGCAGCGGCUUCGGAGGGGGAGGGGCCGAGUGGUGCGGCUGCAGCGGCGCCUGCGCUUCCUGAGCGCGGCCAGCAGGGGGCGCCGGGCGGCGCUGAGGGCGCUGCAGGAGCAGGUGGGGAGCGCGGCCGGGCGGGGCGGGAUGGACCAGUAUGGACCAGUAUGGACCAGUAUGGACCAGUAUGGACCAGUACGGACCAGUAUGGACCGGUUAGAGACCAGUACGGACCAGUAUGGACCAGUAUGGACCGGUUAGAGACCAGUACGGACCAGUACGGACCAGUAUGGACCAGUACGGACCAGAACGGACCAGUACGGACCAGUACGGACCAGUACGGACCAGUACGGACCAGUAUGGACCAGUAUGGACCAGUAUGGACCAGUAUAGACCAGUACGGACCAGUACGGACCAGAACGGACCAGUACGGACCAGAACGGACCAGUACGGACCAGUAUGGACCAGUACGGACCAGUAUGGACCAGUAUAGACCAGUAUGGACCAGUACGGACCAGUAUAGACCAGUAUGGACCGGUUAGAGACCAGUAUGGACCAGUACGGACCAGUACGGACCAGUACGGACCAGUACGGACCAGUAUGGACCAGUACGGACCAGUAUGGACCGGUUAGAGACCAGUACGGACCAGUAUGGACCAGUACGGACCAGUACGGACCAGUAUGGACCAGUAUGGACCAGUAAUGACCAGUAAUGGACCAGUACGGACCAGUACGGACCAGUAUGGACCAGUAUGGACCAGUAUGGACCAGUUAGAGACCAGUACGGACCAGUAUGGACCAGUAUAGACCAGUACGGACCAGUACGGACCAGAACGGACCAGUACGGACCAGAACGGACCAGUACGGACCAGUACGGACCAGUACGGACCAGUACGGACCAGUAUAGACCAGUAUGGACCAGUAUGGACCGGUUAGAGACCAGUAUGGACCAGUAUGGACCAGUACGGACCAGUACGGACCAGUAUGGACCAGUACGGACCAGUAUGGACCGGUUAGAGACCAGUAUGGACCAGUACGGACCAGUAUGGACCAGUACGGACCAGUACGGACCAGUACGGACCAGUAUGGACCAGUAUGGACCAGUACGGACCAGUAUGGACCGGUUAGAGACCAGUACGGACCAGUACGGACCAGUAUGGACCAGUACGGACCGGUUAGAGACCAGUAUGGACCAGUACGGACCAGUAUAGGCCACUAAGCCCCCCAGUGCCCUCCCAGUCCAUCCCAGUAUAUCCCAGUAUGACCCCAGUUCCCCUAGUUUAUCCCAGUUUGACUCCAGCUGUGUUCCCAGUGCUCCCAGUCCAUCCCAGUAUAACCCAGUCCCUCCCAGUUCCCUCCCAGUUCAUCCCAGUUUGACUCCAGCUGUGUUCCCACUGCCUCCCAGUUUAUCCCAGUUUAUCCCAGUAUGUCCCAGUAUGUCCCAGUUUGAUCCCAGUCCCUCCCAGUGGCCCCAGUUCACCCUCCCAGUACAAACCAGUUCACCCAGUCAAUUGCCUUCCACUCAUCCCAGUCCCUCCCAGUUUGAGUCCAGCUGUGUUCCCAGUCCGUCCCAGUUUGUCCCAGUUUGAUCCCAGUCCCUCCCAGUUCCUCCCAGUAUAUCCCAGUUCCCGACCAUUCUGAUUGGCCGCAGGUUGUGGGCGUGGUGCGGGCGGGGCCGGGCUCGGCCCCUCCCCCUCUGGAGGGGGCGUGGCUCCGUCGCCGGCAGCUGUUAGUGGGAGCGGAGCUCCGCCCCCCGCCACAGGCCACGCCCCCUCUGCAGGGACUGGCCCGGGAGAUGGGCGUGGCACAGGUGAGGGAGGGGCUUCAAGGGGGAGGGGCUUAAAUGGGGAAGGGGAGGAGCUUAGAGGUGAGAGAUGGGAGGGGCUUAAAUGGGAGGAGGGGCUUAGAGAAGGGU